UGUUUACUAAUAUCCUUUGGUUUUUCCCUCCACCUUUGAUAACCCAUUCCCUUUUGCUUUUUCCUCGGCAGUCAUAUCUCUCUCUCUCACUUUCAUUUCUCCACCCCAUCUUCCGCCGUUCCUUCUCCACCCCAUCUUCCGCCGUUCCUUCUCCACCCUAGCUUUCUCGUCCGCGUUUCAUACUCCUUUUACCUGGGUUGCUGAGGGCAAGAAUCCACUUGUACCAUCUAAAGGAGAGUAGAUAUUGAAGUACAAGGAGCUUUAUCCAUUGGAUCAUUUACUACUGCUAAAAGCCAUUUGUGAAGUUAGAGCUGAUGUAUAGUGACCUCCUGGUAUGAUGCCAACACCAAAGCACAGAGUCACAGAUUUUACAGGGAAACAAUCACAUCAGUCUCAACUCCAAACCGUAAGGUCAAAGGCUGUUUAUCACUUCCCAACUUUCAAUGGGAAACACUUGCCUCCAAUCUUGAAGAUUUUCAGAAGUAGCUGAAAAAUUAUCAUCUACCAAGUCUCGUGUGGAAGUUUUUAUUGGCAAGAAGCUUCAAAGUGAAGCAGUUCCUGUUCUUGAGAAACUUCAAAGGGUAUAUACAUUCUAUUGAUUAAUAAAGGUAUUGUAGAUCAUCCUUUUACCUGGGUAACCAUUCCUUCACUCAUUUCAAAUUUUUUGUUAAAAAACUUUUUUCUCAAAUACCACAUUGCCUUCAACAUCCUUGGUUCUCUCUCAUCAGUUUUCAACAUCCUUUGUUCAGACCAAGUGUGGAGAACAACAUCCUUCGUUCGCUCUCAUCAGUUUCUUGUAGCUCCAACAUAUUGUUGAUUUCCGCCUUCACUUCAUCCAGCUCGAAGAUCUUCCGAUUUCAUCUCAAGUAAAUUCAUCUCUUAAAUCUUAAUGUUCAGACCAAGUGUGCAGAACAACAUCCUCCGUUCUUCAUUGUUUUAUUUUGUGUUCUUCUUUACUCUUCUCCUGGAUUUCGUUUCUGGUUUUCAUCCAAAUCGAUUUAUGUUUUGGUUUUUCCUGUGCUAUUUUUUAAUCGUCCAAAUUGUUACUGUUAUUAUUUUGUACUUUAUUACUCGUCCAAAUCGUUACUUUAACAGUUUCAGUUUUAGAGAGUCAACAUGAAAGUGAACAUGGUUAAUGUUAAGUGAUUUAUGUUGUUGACAACUCCAUUUCUUGAAUGUACUACUGUUUGCAUUUUCUGAGUGUUUUAUGUUGUUAACAACUUCCGUUUUAGAGAGUCAGCAUGAAAGUGAAAAUGGUUUAUGUUGAGUGUUUAUGUUGUUGACCUCCCCAUGGUUUGAAUGUUCUAAUGUUUGCAUUUGUUGAGGGUUUUAUGUUGUUAACAACUUUUGUUUUAGAAAGACAUCAUGAAAGUGAAAGUUAUUUAUUUUGAGUGUUUGAUGUUGUUAAAAAAUUCUAUUUUAGAGAGUCAGCAUGAAUGAGUCCAACUUUUUGAUGAUAAAUCUGUGUUGAUUUAAUAGGAAACUUUCUGCAAUACAAUUAGAAUGACUAAGAGGUUCAAGGUAAAUAAACUCGGCUGGUACUAUGAAGUUUGUCCAACUUGUAACAAGACUAACAAAUCACUGCUUUCCCUUUGAAUGCAAAUGCGUCAAUAUUUAAUCACAGUCUUCAAACAUAAAACUGAUUUAUGAACCAUUGGCAAUAUUAUAUUUCAACUUGCUUUCAACAUUCUUUGGCUUGAGUAUAUCAGAAACCAAAUGAAAUUUCAAUUGUUGUCUCAUAACUGAAUUCCAUUAUGCAUUUGUUCUUGCUAUCAAACCAUAUGACAUGUUCUUACUAUAUAUUUGCUGCACUACUUGUAACUUUUGCAUGAACUUUCAAUUUAUUGGCAAAACAAUCUCUAGACAACUAUGUAUUUCAUACCAUGUGCAUUUCCAAUUUCAGAACACUGCUUCUACUGCCAAGAACUAGAGCCCUGACUUCUAAUAAAUAACAAAAUUAACAUAUUGACGAGUUCGCGGUAUGUUAAUUGACACCUUUUAUAAAGGUUACUUCCAUUUAUCAAGAACAUACUAUAUCCAUGUUUGUCAUUAUACCUGUUCUAUAACAACUUAAUAAAAUAUAUACAAGUCAUUUGCAUCAAUAUUCAAUAUAAUUUGAAACAAUUGUCAUGUACUUUGAUUUCAUUGCUUAGGGCCAAGUCUUUUUCAUCAUUAUUAUCCUAUUACUAGCUUAUAAGUAUAAAAUAUCUUAUAUUCAUUUGGAUAUCACUGCUUCAAAAAAGCUUUGUGUGCAGGUUCUAAGUUAAACUUCUAAAAAUUGCUUGCUUCAACACUGACUGCUGAGCCACACCUAUCUGUAGCACUAAUAAAGCAAUGCCUCCAAUCUCUUAUAUGCAUUUGGAAGUGACUGAUUCAUAAAGCAACAUGUGCAAGUUCUAAUUUACAACACAAAAAGUAGAUUGCUUCCACAUAUACAGUUGCACAACUUAGAUCCGUACGAGUUGAGGUUCAGCAGGUCUCCAUCACCAACCUGUAACCUCGAUUGCCGUAAGUAUAUCCAAAUCAAGCUAUAAAGUUUUUGUGAGAUAUUGGAUCGAACUCUAGUAUUGUCGAAGGGUAGCUUCUUGGUUCGACAGUGUAAUACGGUGAACUGACUUUUUAAUAAUGUCGCGGUAAGCAAGAGUCGCCACCGACUUUUAUUUUAUCCAAUUUAAAGAAAGGCUAAAAGAACAGGAAAGACCUUUUGAAAGAUUUUGAGUUCGGGGGGUAAGUUAUACAAAGGGAAGGUGUAAGGCACCCUUUGCAUCCAUGGUUAUCCAUGGGCUCUUAAUUGCUUAGCUCACUUUGUUUGUUUGAUUUGUUUGAAAAGCGGUGUGCGAAUAGUAAAAGGUUUCGUUAAGGACUUUAGCUUAUAAAUAAGCGUAGCCUUGUUUGAAAUUAUUUUGAAAUAGGAGGUGUGAAAAGUAAACUUUGAAGAAGAACUUUAGCUUGUAAAUAAGCGUAGUCUUUUUGAAAAGUAUUUGAAAAUUAAUGGGAAAAUAGUUUGAUUUUGAAUUUUGAAUUUGAAUGGAGCAAGCAAUUACUAGCAACUUACCCUAAGUUUAAAAAUUUGUUCUUUUAGCUUUUCGAGGCGAAAGGAUCUAUCCAUGCCAUAAGAGGGCAGGAAGCCUUUCAAUUGGAUGUUUAAGGGUCAUCGAGUAAUCGUUCGCCAUAAGACUGUCCCAUGCCAUAAAGAGGGCAGGUAGUCUAAGGGAAGGAUAUAAUAGUCAUUAAUCUUUUUAGGCAUCAUGCGAGGAUACCUUAGCAAUUGGGACAAUCAUCAUAUAAGGCAACAUCGAGGGACAAACUUGAUGAUGAUAAUGAACUUAGGGCAACAUUUGUUUUGCUUUAGGUAUCCUCGGAAUCGAGGGACUUGACUAUUUAGUACACUUAGAGGCAGCAAGGCAACAGGCAACAGAAGAGGUUACCCUAAAGGUGAGUGUGUGCAGCAAUCACGUGGUUAACUUCGAUUACAUUUAUCUUGUAAUUAGGUGAUCUAUGUUCAGUUCAUGGUUUGCACUCCCUAAAUUACUAACCACGUAGUAAAUAUAAUAUAACAGUUUUAAGUGCCUUCAAGGCCAAACAAUACAACCAGGGAACAGUUACAUAAUAAUACGGGGAAGGGAACAAUGAAACCAGCGGAUCCCUUAAUA